rnacentral:rRNA from 1 species
UACAGAGGGGGCAAGCGUUAUUCGGAAUUAUUGGGCGUAAAGGGCGCGUAGGCGGCUUGGCAAGUGGAUGGUGAAAUCCCUCGGCUUAACCGAGGAACUGCCGUCCAAACUGCUUCGCUUGAGACCGGGAGAGGUGAGUGGAAUUCCCAGUGUAGCGGUGAAAUGCGUAGAUAUUGGGAGGAACACCAGUGGCGAAGGCGGCUCACUGGACCGGUACUGACGCUGAUGCGCGAAAAGCAUGGGGAGCGAACAGG